AUACACCACAGUUAUGGACACAGCUUGGAGCAGGAGGAAGAGACUGACCCUACAGCCGCCUCAAGUAUGAAAAAAAAAAAACCAAAACCCACCAGUGGACUUCAGGGUGAGAUGCACAAAGGGACUCAGGUUGUUGCAAUGCUGAGCAUCAUGGUGUCUAACUUUUAGGUCCUUAGAAAAAUCACAGGAACAACUCUGCAAUCCCCAAAGCCCAAGUUAGCCAUCUAUGGGGGACCUUUGACUGCGCCUCAAAGCCAGCACAAUAGGCCAGGAGCCACCUAUACUACCCACUGGGAAAUACCAACCAGAGCUCUUUCAGAGAGGACAACAAGUCUGGGCUGCACAGAAGACAUCUAGCUCUGCUAGUGAGCCACACAAUGGAAAAGAUUGGUGCUUGGCUGCUCAAAUUGUGUACAGAAUUUGAAAUAAAACAGCUGGGGGUGGUGCUGCGUGAAAAGGGACAAGACUGCCCUUGGAAUCUUUAGCUUAGUGAAUAAGGUACUCAUCCAAAAUAUAGGAGGCACCCCCUCUUCCCCUUCUGAGGGAGAAGUGACUUGAGCAGGGAUCUCCCACCUCACACAAGUAUGCUAGGCUCAGCUGUGGAGAGUCUCUUACAUUCUCUAGCUUAGUUAAGUAUUCCAUAGUUUAAUUAACAUGGAACUUCAAUAAGAGAGACUGAGGGAGUGCUACAUCAGCAUAGUCCAUAGCCUAGUUGUUAGGGUACUCAACUGUGAGGUGGUAAAUCCCUGUUCAUAUUCCUUCUCUCCCUUAGGAGGACAGGAGACUUGAAGUAAAGAUUGCUAACAUUGUGGGGCAACAAGUCCACAAUGAGAAUGUCUGUCUCUCAGUAAGACUGUUUGGUGCAGCGAGGAAGAUGGUAAUUGCUGCCUGUACGGUGGUGGCCAUCCUGCCCUGACAUAUAAACUGCAACCAGGAGCACCAGUGUCACACAGCCAAUAUUCUAACCAGCUGAAUUAAACCGUUCAAGCCAACAGCACUAAAAGGGGGUUUGCACUCAGAAGGCUGGAUCUCCUCACAACACUUGAACAAAAUGGGCAACUGCUUUGUUCGUUUAUAAUACUGAGGAGAUGGGGUGGUGGAAGAAGAAAAAAAACAAAAAAAGAAGCAAGGUCAGCAAUCCCCAUCCUUCAUUAGUCUAACUGCCAGAGUUACUCCUACACUGAUGGAGUGUUGCUCAAUUGUGUAUCUAUUAAGAAAUGGAAAGGAGGGCUGAACAAAAUCUUAUGUCCUUUUUGACCCAUUUCUCUGGACAGAUCAUUGGUGUAGCACAUGUGUGCACUCACUCUACUUCCGUACAGCAUGCAAAUCUACUG